AAUCAUUAUUUUCCACAUACCAUACAUUUUUUUAGCACCUCUAAGUCCCGCCCAUCUGAAACAGGUCGUUUGGUACAAAGCUCAUCGUUGUGAGAAAGCCCGGUGUCAACGGGUGUGAACUGAUUGGCCAGCUAUCCAGUGCGUUGUGAUUGGCCGAAUACCUCAGUAACGUAAUCGGAAAUAUGACGCUCCUUGCCAAGUUUUGGAAGAUGAGCUCCCAAAACAAUAGUGAAAGCCACGAGAUACUAUCGUAUUUACUACUACCUUAUCAACACAAGCCUGAAUCGGACCCAGAAAGCAUGGAUGGCUAAGCUAAUCUAUCAACUUUACCAGCGCGAUGUGAGCAAAACGUAACAGAUGGUAAGAAGAUUCUCCAUUGAUCGCCCUUUUCUCACCUCUCCGAAUCUUCUCUGGGGUCAUCUGGGUCAACUAAUUGCCAGCUUGUCCUUACCUGAACCUCUGGCUAUCUGCCAGCGUUAUGUGAAUCAAUGAAACUUCAAUUGGCUGUUUGUUACCUGGGAAAGAUCUCUUUGGCUGUGUUAAUGGAGUCGCUGUAAUGGUUAUGUGUGGAGGAACACCAAAGCCAAAAGCACCAUGGGAACACAUCAAAGAGAAUAAUUCCUUCCUGUUACUCUCUCCUACCUCCUCCAGAGGAUCAGCUCCUGGGCUUCACACACAUGAUUUGCUCUCAAUCCCAGCCUAUGCAUAAAAGCACAAAGGGGAUGAUAACAGGAUUAUGAUUAUCACAGGGUGGCAUACAAAGUACACAUGUCUGAAAGAACAUCUCUAUCCAACUGAGGAGAAAAAGACAUAGAAGAUCUCAAAGAAAUGAAGAAUAAAGGGAUGUUUUAAAUUAAAUGACAGAGAGCACCUUGUACGAUUGUCUUUUGUGGAAGACGUACAGUGAUGUUAGACAAAAUUCAUGCAACUGUUUGCCACACAAUGAAAGCAUGCGCUUCAAAUAUUCAAACUUUAAAAUGAGAUGUUGCAAAUCCAUCAUAAUUUAAAAUAUUACAAAACUGACAUUCCUGUAGAAUAAAAAUAGCAUUAUAUCUGUUAUAGGCUUGUACUAAACUCAAAUCACUGUUCUGGGAGGGUGCACUUUAGACAAAUGAACUUUAGUAUUGCAAUCGCCAUAAAUUACAUAAAACCUCAUGACUUUUCUGCAGUUCGGUGUAAAUUAAGCUUGGUAGCUGCCAAUACUUCAGACAUUACACUCAGCUCAUUGACUUCACAUCAACAUAGGUUAUAAACAAACCUCAGAGGUAAUAAGAAAGGAAUGGAUUAGAGUAAAAUUCAAAUUUAAAUAUGACUGGCAAUGUCAUUUAGUUAGGUCAUGGACAGCUAGGCAUUUCAUAUUGCAUUUAACUACACUGUGUGUUAAAUACAGUCUGGUGUAACAGGCAUGUCUCACUGAAUCCACAAGCUUUAAAGAACUGUCUUUUAAGCUU